GACUGAGACACGGCCCAGACUCCUACGGGAGGCAGCAGUGGGGAAUUUUCCGCAAUGGGCGCAAGCCUGACGGAGCAACGCCGCGUGUGGGAUGAAGGCCUGUGGGUUGUAAACCACUUUUCUCAGGGACGAACGCAAUGACGGUACCUGAGGAAUCAGCCUCGGCUAACUCUGUGCCAGCAGCCGCGGUAAGACAGAGGAGGCAAGCGUUAUCCGGAAUUAUUGGGCGUAAAGCGUCCGUAGGUGGUCUAGCAAGUCUGGGGUUAAAGCCCGGAGCCCAACUCCGGAUCGGCCUUGGAAACUGCCAGACUCGAGUAAGGUAGGGGUUGCGGGAAUUCCCGGUGUAGCGGUAAAAUGCGUAGAUAUCGGGAAGAACACCAGCGGCGAAAGCGCGCAACUGGGCCAUUACUGACACUGAGGGACGAAAGCUAGGGGAGCGAAUGGGAUUAGAUACCCCAGUAGUCCUAGCCGUAAACGAUGGUGACUAGAUGUGGCUCGUAUUGACCCGAGCCGUGUCGUAGCUAACGCGAUAAGUCACCCGCCUGGGGAGUACGCACGCAAGUGCGAAACUCAAAGGAAUUGACGGGGGCCCGCACAAGCGGUGGAGCAUGUGGAUUAAUUCGAUGCAACGCGAAGAACCUUACCAGGGCUUGACAUCCUGCGAACCCCGCUGAAAGGUGGGGGUGCCUUCGGGAGCGCAGAGACAGGUGGUGCAUGGCUGUCGUCAGCUCGUGUCGUGAGAUGUUGGGUUAAGUCCCGCAACGAGCGCAACCCGCGUCCUUAGUUGCCAGCAUUUAGUUGGGCACUCUGGGGAGACUGCCGGUGACAAGCCGGAGGAAGGUGCGGAUGACGUCAAGUCAGCAUGCCCCUUACCGCCCUGGGCGUCACACGUGCUACAAUGGCCAGCACAAAGGGUAGCCAG
rnacentral:rRNA from 1 species